UACGAAGGGGGCUAGCGUUGCUCGGAAUCACUGGGCGUAAAGCGCACGUAGGCGGAUUCUUAAGUCAGGGGUGAAAUCCUGGAGCUCAACUCCAGAACUGCCUUUGAUACUGAGAAUCUCGAGUUCGGGAGAGGUGAGUGGAACUGCGAGUGUAGAGGUGAAAUUCGUAGAUAUUCGCAAGAACACCAGUGGCGAAGGCGGCUCACUGGCCCGAAACUGACGCUGAGGUGCGAAAGCGUGUGGAGCAAACAGG
rnacentral:rRNA from 1 species